rnacentral:rRNA from 1 species
GACGAACGCUGGCGGCGUGCCUAAUACAUGCAAGUAGGACGCAGUUGCGAACGGGUGAGUAACGCGUAAGUAACUACCUAUUAGAGGGGGAUAACUCUUGGAAACGAUAGCUAAUACCGCAUACUAGUAGAUGGACCUGCGUUGUAUUAGCUAGUAGGUAGGGUAAUGUCCUACAUAGGCAACGAUACAUAGCCGAACUGAGAGGGUGAUCGGCCACAAUGGGACUGAGACACGGCCCAGACUCCUACGGGAGGCAGCAGUAGGGAAUCGUCGGCAAUGGGGGGAACCCUGACUGAGCAACGCCGCGUGAGUGAAGACGGUGUUCGGAUCGUAAAGCUCUGUUGUUAAGGAAGCGGUACUUAACCAGAAAGGGACGGCUAACUACGUGCCAGCCGCCGCGGUAAUUC